GGGGCACCUGCACCAGAAACUGCCAUGAAGAUGAAUGGGAACGCUAAUGGAUGGCCCUUUCCAGAUGACUACAACUGAUAGCCAGGCACAGCCGCCCAGUACCUGCUACAUUUGGAGUUGAAACACACACCCUGUCACCUUCUGACCGCAUUACUCAUCCACAGCCAAACAAAUAAAUCAGAAUAAUGAUAAUAGUCAAAAUUCAAAUCAGCCGGAGGAAACGGUCCAUGAAAGUACCAACAGUGACGUACGCGUUUGGCUGUGUUGACGGCAGCGAGCGAUUUCCAUGACAGUGUUUAAAUAGGUGCGGUCCCACUCCUCCUCACAGAGCUCUGCGCCUGGAUUACUUCAUAAUCCACAGCAUAUUAUGGGCCUGGCACUAAUUGAAAGAUAAAUGAGUUUAUUUGGGUUAAAUCCAUCACUAUGACAUGAACCCAAAGGAGAGCGAGGGGGGGAGGAGAGAUGGGAGCGCAAAGGAAUACUGAAGACAUUUGAUUUGCGCCUUUCUAUCAGCCAGCUGGAUCAGAAGUAACAUCAGAGAUGAACACGCGCGGGAUCACAAGUGAUUAAGGAUGUGAGGUUAAUAUAUCCAAGCUUCAUUUUCAUGCAGAACAUUUACUUAAAGGUACACUACGUAACUUUUUUUUUCAAAAUUAACAAAAUUUAAAUAAUGAGUCAAUACAUCAUCAAUUCUUCUUCCAAAAUGUGUUUUUUUACUAUGGUAAAUGUUUUUAGACCUAGCAGGAUGAUUUUCAGGGGAAAUUUCUUACGUCACUCACCAGUGCACUUCUCGUCAUAUCCGUAAAUAGAGAAAAGUUGCUCCA